rnacentral:rRNA from 1 species
AUUGAACGCUGGCGGCAGGCCUAACACAUGCAAGUCGAACGGUAACAGGAAGAAGCUUGCUUCUUUGCUGACGAGUGGCGGACGGGUGAGUAAUGUCUGGGAAACUGCCUGAUGGAGGGGGAUAACUACUGGAAACGGUAGCUAAUACCGCAUAACGUCGCAAGACCAAAGAGGGGGACCUUCGGGCCUCUUGCCAUCGGAUGUGCCCAGAUGGGAUUAGCUAGUAGGUGGGGUAACGGCUCACCUAGGCGACGAUCCCUAUCUGGUCUGAGAGGAUGACCAGCCACACUGGAACUGAGACACGGUCCAGACUCCUACGGGAGGCAGCAGUGGGGAAUAUUGCACAAUGGGCGCAAGCCUGAUGCAGCCAUGCCGCGUGUAUGAAGAAGGCCUUCGGGUUGUAAAGUACUUUCAGCGGGGAGGAAGGGAGUAAAGUUAAUACCUUUGCUCAUUGACGUUACCCGAAGAAGAAGCACCGGCUAACUCCGUG